rnacentral:rRNA from 1 species
GAUGAACGCUGGCGGCGUGCCUAAUACAUGCAAGUCGAGCGAACAGAUAAGGAGCUUGCUCCUUUGACGUUAGCGGCGGACGGGUGAGUUACACGUGGAUAACCUACCUAUAAGACUGGGAUAACUUCGGGAAACCGGAGCUAAUACCGGAUAACAUAUUGAACCGCAUGGUUCAAUAGUGAAAGGCGGCUUUGCUGUCACUUAUAGAUGGAUCCGCGCCGUAUUAGCUAGUUGGUAAGGUAACGGCUUACCAAGGCAACGAUACGUAGCCGACCUGAGAGGGUGAUCGGCCACACUGGAACUGAGACACGGUCCAGACUCCUACGGGUGGCAGCAGUAGGGAAUCUUCCGCAAUGGGCGAAAGCCUGACGGAGCAACGCCGCGUGAGUGAUGAAGGUCUUCGGAUCGUAAAACUCUGUUAUCAGGGAAGAACAAAUGUGUAAGUAACUGUGCACAUCUUGACGGUACCUGAUCAGAAAGCCACGGCUAACUACGUG